rnacentral:rRNA from 1 species
GAUGAACGCUAGCGGCAGGCCUAAUACAUGCAAGUCGGACGGGAUUCAGGAGCUUGCUUCUGAUGAGAGUGGCGCGCGGGUGCGUAACACGUAUGUAACCUACCUUUAUCAGGGGGAUAGCCUCUCGAAAGAGAGAUUAAGCCCGCAUAAAAUCACAGCACAGCAUUGUGUAAUGAUCAAAUAUUUAUAGGAUAAAGAUGGGCAUGCGGAACAUUAGCUAGAUGGCGGGGUAACGGCCCACCAUGGCGACGAUGUUUAGGGGAUCUGAGAGGAUGGCCCCCCACACUGGUACUGAGACACGGACCAGACUCCUACGGGAGGCAGCAGUAAGGAAUAUUGAUCAAUGGGCGGAAGCCUGAACCAGCCAUGCCGCGUGCAGGAAGACGGCCCUACGGGUUGUAAACUGCUUUUAUACGGGAAUAAACCCAGAUACGUGUAUCUGGCUGAAUGUACUGUAAGAAUAAGGAUCGGCUAACUCCGUG